AAUCUGGGCUUAGCCACAUGGCUAAAUGUGGCCAAUGAGACCUUAGCAAGUUUAACGUAAGCAGAAGUUUGGCGCGCACUAUUAUGGAUUGAGUGUUUGUUGCUCCCCAAAGCUCAUAUGUGAAGCCCUAACACUCAAGGGUAACCCUCUAGACUACAUGGGAGUCGAGAUUAUCCUCCAGUGGAGAGAGGAUAAUGGAGAAACCCUGGAAUGUGGGGUAUUAUAUGAAGAGAGUGAACAUGUAGAAGAAAACUGAAGGUUCUUUUCCUGUUUCCAACAGUCAAUAUUUCAGCCUCUUGCAAACAUAUGAGUGACGCAGCCAGCAUAACAUGAAACACAAGGCUCAUUAAGUUUACCCAAAGGAAGCACAACAAAUACUAAACCAUUGUUGUUUUAAG
rnacentral:lncRNA from 1 species